rnacentral:tRNA from 1 species
GUAGCGGUGGUUCAGUGGUAGAAUUCUUGCCUCCCACUCAGGAGACGUAGGUUCGAUUCCCGGCCAAUGCA